AAAGGGUAGAAAAAAUACUAAUAAUAGCCAUAUUAUUAUUUUUUUUUAUUAUUAUUAUUAUUCACAAA
rnacentral:ribozyme from 1 species